rnacentral:lncRNA from 1 species
UUCCGCGCAGCUCCAUCACUCCCUGACAGGCCACAGUAACGGUCACAGCACUGCUCCACUUCCUACGACGGAUCUCGUGCAGCUCCACUACUCCCUGGCAGGCCACAAUAACGGCCACGAUCCUGCUCCACUUCCUGCGACGGAUACCGUGCGAUUCUUCUAUCCGCUGGCAAGUCGCGACAACAGACGCCGCUCCACUC